CCAGAACCCAAGCCUCCUCAGCCAAGAGCCACCAACUUUAAGCCUCAGCGCCCCUCCUCAUCUAUGAAGAAAAAGAAGAGAGGUCACCCCUGCCUCCAUCAGGAAAGAAUGAAACACUCGUUGAGCCUUCACACACUGACAAGAUCCUGAGCUCUCUACGAGACUCCCGUUGCAAGUUUAUCCAAGCAGUACUAACAGCAAGUUACCCAAAAACAUCAGGAAGAGCUUGGAGUGUCAACACACAACUGCAAUUCCAGGAC